rnacentral:RNase_P_RNA from 4 species
GGGGGCAGGUAGGUGAUCGCUCGCCAUUGGAGAGAGGAAAGUCCGGGUUCCAAAGAGCAGGGUGCCCUGAGCAAUCAGGGGGUCCGCCACUAAUUAUUGGUGGACACGGAAAGUGCCACAGAAAAUAUACAGCCCCCCCUUCUUGCUGUUCUCCCCCUUCUUGCUUUCGCAAGAAAGCAGGGGGAUGAAGCAAGAAAGCAGGGGGGUAAAGGUGAAAAGGUGAGGUAAGAGCUUACCGUUCCGAUGGCGACAUCGGAAGCAUGGUAAACCCCAUCCGGAACAAGGCCAAAUAGAGGACCCAAAACUGCUCGUUUUUCCGCCUAUCUUUUUGGCGGAGGUCCCGGGUAGGCCGCUUAGAGAAAUGAUCGCCAUCUCGAUUCCUUCAACGGAAUCGGGGCCACAGAACCCGGCUUAUGCCUGCUCCCUAAA